UCCCAGACUCCUACGGGAGGCAGCAGUGGGGGAUAUUGCACAAUGGGGGGAACCCUGAUGCAGCGACGCCGCGUGGGUGAAGGAGUGCUUCGGCAUGUAAAGCCCUAUCGGCAGGGAAGAAGCAAGACGGUACCUGACUAAGAAGCCCCGGCUAACUACGUGCCAGCAGCCGCGGUAAUACGUAGGGGGCGAGCGUUAUCCGGAUUCACUGGGUGUAAAGGGAGCGUAGACGGGCAUGCAAGCCAGGGGUGAAAGCGCGGGGCCCAACCCCGGGACUGCCCUUGGAACUGCAUGGCUGGAGUGCGGGAGGGGCAGGCGGAAUUCCUGGUGUAGCGGUGAAAUGCGUAGAUAUCAGGAGGAACGCCGGCGGCGAAGGCGGCCUGCUGGACCGCGACUGACGUUGAGGCUCGAAAGCGUGGGGAGCAAACAGGAUUAGAUCCCCGUGUA
rnacentral:rRNA from 1 species